CAGCUAGCCUUCUAAGCGUAUAAAUAGUUUAGGUUUCGAGUCUUUUGGUACUUUGAAUUUUACCUCUCUUGAAAGCAUUUUGGGAACUUUUGAGGUGACUAUAGAGUGGGAAGAACAACGGGAGCACAACAAGGAUUCAUUCUUGUAAUAAUUCUUCUCCUUUAAUGUUUCUACUAUUCUCUUUGUUGGCUUUAUGCUUUCCCAUG
rnacentral:lncRNA from 1 species